rnacentral:tRNA from 1 species
GGUGAUAUGGUGUAGUGGCUAACAUUAUCGCCUCUCACGCGAUAGCCCGGGGUUCGAUUCCCCGUGUCGGAA